GACUCAGGGCUGCGGCCGGGGUCCUGCGGGGUAGGAGCGCGAGGCCGGCCUGAGGGAGGAGGCCUAGCGACCCAUCCGGCGCCUCCCGCCCCGGGCACCCGCCCGCGGCCGCGCAUCCUGCGGGCCCCAGGAGGCCUCCAUCUCAAAACAACGUGUUUUUAGGUAAUUUCAAACUUAGGGAAAAGCUUCAAGAAUAAUACCGAAAAUGUCAGUGUCCCCAGCACCUAGAUCCCCCAGUUAAAUCCUUUUCCAUUUCACCGCGCUGCCCCCCGCCCCCUGGACGGUUAUGUGGCCGCGUGGGGUUGGCUCUGCCCAGGGCCGCGGUCACUGCACAGAACGCCCUGCACGUAAGGGGCUCCGCCUGGGUAAGACCCCGCCCAGCUGGGCAGGAGGAGGGCGUGGGCCCAGGACAUGGAGACCAGCCUGGGCAACAUAGCGAGACCCCAUCUCUGCAGAAAUAAAAUAUUAGCCGGACGGUGCACGGUGGCUCAGGCCUGUAAUCCCGGCACUUUGGGAGGCCGAGGUGGGAGGAUGGCCUGAGGUUAGUGUCUCACAUGUCUGUGUGAAGAGACCACCAAACAGGCUUUGUGUGAGCAACAAGGCUGUUUAUUUCACCCGGGUGCAGCCCGGCUGAGUCGGAAAAGAGAGUCAGCAAAGGGCGAUGGGAUUAUCAUUAGUUCUUACAGGUUUUGGGAUAGACGGUGGAGUUAGGAGCAAUGUUUUGCAGGCAGGUGGUGGAUCUCAUAAGGUACAUUCUCAAGGGUGGGGAGAAUUACAAAGAACCUUCUUAAGGGUAGAGGAGAUUACAAAGUACAUUGAUCAGUUAGGAUGGGGCAGAAACAAAUUACAAGGGUGGAAUGUCAUCAGUUAAGGCUGUUUUCACUUCUUUUGUGGAUCUUCAGUUGCUUCAGGCCAUCUGGAUGUAUACAUGCAGGUCACUGGGGAUAUGAUGGCUUAGCUUGGGCUCAGAGGCCUGACAGGAGUUCAAGACCAGCCUGGUGAACAUGACGAAACCCUGUCUCUACAAAAAUAAGAAAUGAACGCAGCAUGGUGGCAUGCACCUGCAGUCCCAGCCUCUUGGGAGGUGGAGGCAUAAGUCAGCUGUGAAUGCGCCCUGCACUAGAGCCUGGGCAGCAGAGCAGACCCUUCCUCAAACCCAAAAAGCGUCGUGCCAACCAGACCAGAUGGUCGCCUAAUCAAUAGAGACCAUGCCCAAUCAGGUAAGGACAGACACAACCAGGCAUGCUUUUUCUUGUUUUGUUUUUUGUUUGUUGUUUUGAGAUGGAGUUUCACUCUUGUUGCCCAGGCUGGAGUGCAGUGGUGUGAUCUCGGCUCACCGGAACCACCACCUCCUGGGUUCAAGCGAUUCUCCUGCCUCAGUCUCCCAAGUAGCUGGGAUUACAGGCAUGCACCACCAGGCCCGGCUAAUUUUGUAUUUUUAGUAGAGACGGGGGUUUCUCCAUAUUGGUCAGGCUGGUCUCAAACUCCCAACCUCAGGUGAUCUGCCUGCCUCGGCCUCCCAAAGUACUGGCAUUACAGGCGUGAGCCACUGCGCCCAGCUUGUUGUUUUUCUUUAGACAGUGUCUUCCUCUGUGGCUCAGGCUGAAGGGCACUGGGAUGAUCACAGCUCACUGCAGCCUCCACCUCCCAGGCUCAAGCCAUCCUUCUUCCUCAGGCUCCUGAGUAGCGGGAGCUACAGGCAUGCGCCAUCAUGCCUGGCUAAUUUUUGUAUUUUUUGUAGAUACGGGGUUUUGCUAUGUAGCCCAGGCUGGUCUUGAACUCCUGACCUCAGGUGAUCCCUCUGCCUCAGCUUCCCAAAGCGCUGGGAUUACAGAACAUGAGCCACUGUGCCCGGCUUAUUGUACAGUCUUUACUCUCGGUUUUCACCAGAGAACUCAAGGGCUGUGAAAAGAGCAGGACCUCACCAGCUGCACGGCGGUGGUGACUGGCUCCAUCUUGCUGUCCCUCCCAAUCACACAACAUCUCCCCUUGAAGGCUCUGCCCAGGCCCGGACUCCCACCUUUCAAGAUGUCUGGAUCAGUGCAGGACCUCCUCCUUGGCCACAUCGCUCUCCUUGGACUGGCACAUGACAGCCUUCUUGCAAUCAAGAAACUACGUGUGGCCAGGAUCUCAUCCACUAUCACAGUUUCAGCUUUCCCCAAACUGGAAUGUGUCUUUGCAGACGCCCAUCCUUAUUAAAGGGCAAAGACUUCUCAUACACCUAGGAUGGAUCUUAUAUUCUUGGCGGGACUGCAGAGAAGGUGCCGUGUCCUGAGUCCUCAUGUCAGGGCACAGGCUUCCAGCCAGUUCUACCUGGGUUAUGUUUAUCUCAAUUCCCUGGUGGUAUUGGUGUCUGCUGGGUUUUGCCAGAAUGAAGACACCGUGUUUUCAUUUGUCAGUUGAUUCGUAUUUUCCAGGAAGACAUUCUGAGAUUACAGCAUUGUCUUAGUCAAGGUGCUGCAGAAGGACAGAACUAAUAGGAUAUAUGUACAUAUGAAAGAAAGUUUAUGAAGAACUGGCUCACACCAUCACAAGGCAAAGUCCCAUGACAGGCCAUCUGCAAGCUGAGGAGCGAGGAAGCCAGCAGUGGCUCAGCCGGAGUCCAACAGCCUCAAACGGAAUCCAACAGUUCAGGCUUCAGUCUGUGGCCAAAUGCCCAGAGACCCCGGAAAGCUACUGGUGUUAGUCCCAGAGCCGGAAGGCCAAAGAACCUGGAGUGUGAUGUCCAAGGGCAGGAGGAAUGGACAGAAGCAUCCAGCAUGGGGUAAAGACGAAAGCCAGAAGACUCAGCAAGCUAGCUUACCUACUUUCUUCUGCCUGCCUUGUUCUAGCCGCGCUGGCAGCCGGUUGGAGGGUGCCCACCCCCACUGAGGGUGGAUCUUCCUCUCCUAGUCCACUGACUCAAAUUUCAGUCUCUCUGGGAGCACCAUCACACCAGAAACAAUACCAGCCAUCUAGCCACCCUUCAGUUCACCAUCACAACCAUUGUCUUAUUCAUGAAACUUCUGCAGACCCACCUUAACCUCCAUCGGUGACUUCUACCUGAAGCCCUCUGAUUGUUGCCCAGUGGUGCUUUUUAAAAUAAUUUCCAUAGUUUCUUCUACACCUUUAGUUGGCAUUCUACUGUAAAGGAGAGAUUUUAUUUUCUUACUCAUUUAUUUGUUAGUUUAUAGUCACCACCAUAUGGAUGCAGAGUUCUGUCUCAUUCACUGGGAAGUAUUCUAUUGCAGUCAUGAUUUAUUUUGAUGUUCACAUCCCAGAGUUGGUGAGUGAGCGCCCCUUCACGCUGGCUCCCGAGUGCUGACGUGUCCCCGUCCUUCUCUGCACUUUUCCUUACCUCCUGGCCUCAGAUAUUCCAGGGUCAUUUGUUCUCUCCCUGCUCCAACCCUGCAGUCAGCCAUCUCCCUAGGGACGUUGGUUCCUUUAUGGAAGGUGGCAUUUAGAAGCCAGGAUUUGGGCUGAGCACUGUGGCUCAUGCUUGUAAUCCCAGCACUUGGGGAGGCCGAAGUGGGCGGAUCGCUGGAGGCCAAGAGUCUGAGACCAGCCUGGCUAACAUGGUGAAACCCUUCCCCGUCUCUACUACAAAUAAAAAAUUAGCUGGGUGUGUUGGCACGUGCCUGUAAUCCCAGUUACUCAGGAGGCUGAAGCACCAGAAUCUCUUGAACCCAGGAGGCCGAGGUUGCAGUGAGCCAAGAUUGCACCACUGCACUACAGCUUGGGUGACAGCGCGAGACACCGUCUCAAAAAGGAUAAUAAUUUAAAAAACAGCAGGAUUUGGGUGAGCAGUGCGCUCAUUGCUUCUGGGCUCUCUCGGUGGACAUAGGCUAGGAAUGUAAGAUGUAUGUGCCUGUGUAUAUACACACGUCUGUAGCUAUGUCUAUGUUGCAUACAUGUGUUUUUCCAAAAACCAAAUCCAUAACCAUGCCUUCAGUUUCAGCCCAACACCUCCGGGCUCUUUCUAGCUUUCUACCUUUCAUGAUUGUGAAUACCUUCUCCAGCAGUGAGAAACCUGGCUCCUUUGUCCUCAGUGGAUUUUCUUAUUUGCUCAAUUUUUUUGUUUUUUGUUUUGUUUUUGUUUUUGAGACAGAGUCUUGUUCUGUCACCCAAGCUGGAGUGCAGUGGCAUAAUCUCGGCUUACCGCAACCUCUGCCUCCUGGGUUCAAGCGAUACUCCUGCGUCAGCAUCCCGAGUAGCUGGGAUUACAGGCAUGUGCCACCAUGCCUGGCUAAUUUUUGUAUUUUUAGUAGAAACGGAGUUUCACCAUGUUGGUCAGGCUGGUCUCGAACUCCUGACCUCGUGAUCUGGGUGCCUUGGCCUCCCAAAAUGCUGGGAUUACAGGCGUGAGCCACCACACUCGGCCAAGUCAGAAUUUUAAGUUUCAUCUUUUUUGUAAUUAAUUGAACACCUGCAUUCAAAGAAACAGAGAAGUACCACCACGCAUAAGUAAGGUGGCCAUGGCGUACCUAGGUUUCUCAGCCUAUCAAGCUUAGGGGCUUCUUUUUACGUGAAGUCCUCCUAAGACAGCCUCUGAUAGCUGCCUUGUGGUCAGCAGGGAAGAAGGGCCUUGUAAUAGCACGACUCUGCAGGGAGGCGGGCAGCUCUCAUGGCCUUAGUUUGCAGACCUCGAGAUGUCCACUAGAAAGGAGGAGAUCGUGGCUGGCUGCGGUGGCUCACGCCUGUAAUCCCAGGAUUUUGGGAGGCCGAGGCAGGCGGAUCACGGGAUCAGGAGAUCGAGACCAUCCUGGCUAAUGUGGUGAAACCCCGUCUCUACUAAAAAUACAAAAACUUAGCCGGGCGUGGUGGCGGGCGCCUGAGUCCCAGCCACUCGGGAGGCUGAGGCAGGAGAAUGGCGUGAACCCGGGAGGCAGAGCUUGCAGUGAGCCGAGAAUUGCGCCACUGCACUCCAGCCUGGGCGACAGAGCGAGACUUCGUCUCAAAAAAAAAAAAAAAAAAAAAAGAGGAGGUCGCAGCGUCUCCAGUAACACAUCAACUCCGCAACAAGGGGCCACAAGUGUUCCUCGCCAACGGGUCCCUGCUACGAUCCCUAUUUUAAAUAAGGGGAAACUGAGGCGUGGAGGGGGUAAGAAACAGAGAAGUCAGAAUUCAAACCUGGACGACGCCUGUUAGUUUUUUGGGAUUACAGGGGUAAGCCACUGUGCCCGGCCACACGUGUUAGUUUUUUGGGAUUACAGGGGUAAGCCACUGUGCCCGGCCAUGCCUGUUAGUUUUGUAACUCCAGCAUUCCUGUCUCUCCUGCAUUUGUCAAUAGCACUAGUCCUUUGUGGUGAGUUUUUUUUUUUUUUUUUUUUUUUUUUUUGGAGACAGGGUCUUCCUCUAUCGCCCAGGAGUGCAAUGGUGCGAUCUUGGCUCACUGCAACUUCCAUCUCCCAGGUUCAAGCAAUUCUCCUGCCUCAGCCUCCCGAGUAGCUGGAAUUACAAGCACCCACCACCACGUUCAGCUAAUUUUUGUGUUUUUGGUAGAGACAGGGUUUUGCCAUUUUGGCCAGGCUGGGCUCGAACUCCUGGCCUCAAGAGAUCCGACCACCUCGGCCUCCCAAAGUGCUGGGGUUACAGGUGUGACCCACUGCGCCCAGCCUUUUUUUUUUUUUUUUUAAUACAGAUUGGGUCUUGCUAUGUUGACCAGGCUGGUCUAGAACUCCUGGCCUCAAGCGAUUUUCCCACCUUGGCCUCCCAAGGUGCUGAGAUUACAGGCAUGAGCCACCGUGCCCGGCCAGGACCACCCCUUUGGAGUGAUACCUCUCCCCAAUUUUAUGUGGCUCUGGUGGGUCAUCCCUCAGUGUCCACUUAACAGUGACAGUGACGUUAUGUCCUGCUUUUCCCAGAAGAGUCCCAGGUUAUGUUAACUGUUCUAGCAAAAUUAUUCAGAGCACCCCAUUUUCAGUCUCAGAAAUGUCUCCAUUAGUGUCAUGUGAAGUCACCCUAAACGAGGUCAAGAAAAUCAUCCAGGCUGGGCGUGGUGGCUCAUGCCUGUAAUCCCAGCACUGUGGGAGGCUGAGGCAGGUGGAUCACUUGAGGUCAGGAGUUCGAGGCCAGCCUGCCCAACAUGGUGAAACCCCGUCUCUACUAAAAAUACAAAAAUCAGUCAGGCGUGGUGGUGGCACCUGUAAUCCCAGCUACUCGGGAGGCUGAGGCACGAGAAUCACUUGAACCCGGGAAGCGGAGGUUGCAGUGAGACCAGAUCGUGCCACAGCACUCCAGCCUGGGCAAGAGUGAGACUGUCUCAAAAACAAACAAAAAAACUCCUCUUAGUUCAUGCGUGGAUUCUGAUGCAGGCUUGCAGGGAGACCCUCAGGUGCUGCCCAUGAGUAGCUGCGUUGACGGUAGCUGCUUCCUGGCUACCCCGAGGGGCUGCUCUGCAGUCAGGGGAGAGGGGCCGGCUCUCAGGGAAAGGCAUCAAGAACCACACUUGAGUUCCUGGAUCCGGGCACAUCUAAAAUUUAGGAGCCCAUAAACUCCCGUUUUCACAGAACCUAUUUUGAGUUGGGUUCUUGCCACAUGCAAUCAGAAGUCCUGGCCGACACACAACUUUGGCUUCAGCAGUCUCCCUGGGUGUCCCCACCCCAUCCCGUUCCCUGUGUUCAAAGGCGCUUGGGGCCAUCCUCCACUGUGAAACUCCCAGACACGCCAGCCCAGCUGCUUCAGGUGUGCGCUGGGAAAUUUUCACUCCCUGAAUUCCAAAAAUGAUGGCAGCCUCUGCCUCACCCUCAUAAACGCAACGUUUACAUUUAUUGUCCAGUUGUUUCAGGACGUGGAUUUUCUUUGUUUUGCUUUUUUUUUUUUUUUUUUUGAGACAAGAGUUUCACUUUUGUCCCCCAGGCUCGAGUGCAGUGGCGCGAUCUUGGCUCACCACAACCUCCACCUCCCAGGUUCAAGCGAUUCUCCUGCCUCAGCCUCCUGAGUAGCUGGAACUACAGGCGCUGCCACCACACCUAGCUAAUUUUUGUAUUUUUAGUAAAGAUGGGGUUUCACCAUGUUGGCCAGCCUGGUUUGGAACUCCUGGCCUCAGGUGAUCCGCCCGCCUUGGCCUCCCAAAGUGCUGGGAUUACAGGUGUGAGCCACCGCGCCCAGCCCUUUUUUCUGUCUGAGAACAAGAAGACAGUAAGCUCUGGGGAAAAAACAGGACCCACCUUCAUCUUUCUUAUCUUUGCUGUGCACUUCUUACAAAUAUUUGCUGAGGCUGUGAAUUAUAAUUGCAAAAGUAGAAUCCACUGUGUCCAAGCAGAAGAGAGGGUGUCAUGGGGAGCGGGCAGUGGGGAGUCACCUGUCUGCCAGGCUGGACGGGUGAACACAUUCAUCAUCUUUAGGCAUGCGAGCUUCUCCUACCUCUAUCCAUCCUUCCUUCAGCCCAUUUCCCCCGACUUCUGCCACCACCUCCGGGACGUCCUGAAGGCGAACCGGCCUCCCACCUGCUAAGUCCAACAGACACUUCAGCCUGGCUCUCACCAGCCAUGGCGGGUUGCCCUCCUACCUCUUGACAACACGCUCUUCCUCGGCUGCAGAGACACCUCCUCUCCGUAUUUUCCUCCCACAUUAGCAAUGACCACACUCAGGCUAUGUCACUCAUGGUAUUUUUGCAUCAGAAAUGCCAUCCUUGGGCCGGGCGCCAUGCCUCAUGCCUGUAAUCCCAGCGCUUUGAGAGGCCGAGCCGGGUGGAUCCCUUGAGGCCAGGAGUUCAAAAACGGCCUGGGCAACAUAGCAAGACCCUGUCUCUACAAAAAGAAACAGUUUUUAAGUCAUUCCUGAUUUUACAACGCUACUCUGAUCUGAGCCCCUGUGGCCUCGGGAUCCCCAGGCGUCUGUUCCCGAGAACGCGGGGCAGAAAGCCUAGUCCUGCACGCAGUACCAACAAUGCGGAGUCAGCGGGUUGUUUCGACUUUGUUCUGUUUCCUGAGGGGUUCUGAAUAAGGGCCACCCCCUUCCUCCUCUGUGCCGCCAUGUUCCCUCCCGGCCACGCCCCCUUGCAACCCCUCCAAUCUCCGCCCUGCACCCUGGCAGCUCCCCCUGGCGGCAGCAGCGGGUCUUCGUGGAGUCAGCCCCUCCGCUGCUUGGCCGCUGGGUUUGUCCCUUAUUUUAAUGGAUGCGCGUUGGCUAGGACUGCAACAUUGUUUCUUUCUUCCACAAAUUUUAGUUUGAAACAGACAGGAAGUUAAUUUCCCGUCUGGCUGCCACACCUGCUGGUGGCGUGGACUGCGGCCCUUAGGCUGUUCCUUGCUCGAUUUAACCCUGGGAGACAUCGAAGCCUUCCCACCCAAGCUGUAGGGAGCUGUUGAAGACCUGGUUCACACGAGAUCCUUUGCGGGGUGCAGCUGGGGAAAGCAUGAUUUCAGCUUGUAAGCUGCAUGGAGAAUGCAAAUGUAUGUGUGUGUGUAUAUAUAUAUGUGUAUAUAUAUAUAUAUAUAUAUAUAUAUAUAUAUAUAUAUACUUUUUUUUCUUUUCUUUUUUUUUCUUUUUUUUUUUUUGGAGACAGAGUGUCCCUCUGUUGCCAGGCUGGAGUGCAGUGGCACGAUCUCGGCUCACUGCAACCUCCUCCUCCCAGGUUCAAGCGAUUCUCCUGCCUCAGCCUCCCAAGUAGCUGGGACUAGAGGUGCACGCCACCAUGCCCGGCUAAUUUUUGUAUUUUUAGUAGAGACAGACUUUCACCACAUUGGCCAGGCUGGUCUCGAACUCCUGACGAUGUGAUCCAUCCGCCUCAGCCUCCCAAAGUGCUGGGAUUACAAGCGUGAGCCACUGUGCCCGGCCAAUGUAUAUAUUUUUUCAAGACAGCUCAACCCAAAGUAGCACCAGCAUGGACAGGCCGAGUGACGAAGACAGUGCUGGAGGCACACAGAGGCUGUGGGGGCAAGUAUGCGGCCGGCUGGACCUGCGGGGACCCUGCCCGUGGCUGGAAAGGGGACCAGGGGGUCCCUGGGAAACACAGGGCUCUGACCUCUGUGCAGGGUGAGGAAGGGUUUUACCAGCAGAGGGAGAGCUCAGCCCAGGCCCGAAGUCAGCACGACGAGCAGCUGACCCCUGGGAUCUUUGAGGAACCUGAAAGUGCUUGAUGGUCUUUGUGAAUCUGAAAUCCGAGCGAAGCGUCAGACCCUCGAGUUUCCCCAGGGGAACUCCGUUAGUCUCCUGGGAUUUGAUGUAUUCACGCUUUGUUCCUUCUGGACCAGUCACGCCCCACGCCAAUCUGAGCCGUCGGGGGUUGGCCCUUCCAGGAUGCUGUGAUUAGGUCUAGGGAAUUCCACCUGGAGGGAAGGGUGGGCUGUGUCCUAGGGAAUUCCACCUGGAGGGAAGGGUGGGCUGCGUCCUCGGGAGGGAGACAGCAGGUGGCAGGCUUCGGCCUCCCAGGCAGCCCUAUUGAAAAGUGAAGCCACCUGGACUUCCUGGGUCAAGUGGGGACUGGGACAACUUUUCUAUCUAGCAAGAGGAUUGUAAAAUGCACCAAUCAGCGCUCUGUAAAAUGCACCAAUCAGCACUCUGUAAAAUGCACCAAUCAGCACUCUGUAAAAUGCACCAAUCAGUGCUCUGUAAAAUGCACCAAUCAGCACUCUGUAAAAAUGCACCAAUCAGCGCUCUGUAAAAUGCACCAAUCAGCACUCUGUAAAAUGCACCAAUCAGUGCUCUGUAAAAUGCACCAAUCAGUGCUCUGUAAAAUGCACCAAUCAGUGCUCUGUAAAAUGCACCAAUCAGCAGGAUUCUAAAAGUAGUCAAUCGCAGAGAGGAUUGAAAAAAGGGCACUCUGAUAGGACAGAAAUGGAACAUGGGCGGGGCCAAUAAGGGAAUAAAAGCUGGCUGCCACCAACCACCCCCGCCCCCCCCCCCCACCUCUAGCCAGCAGUGGCAACGUGUUCGGGUCCUCGUCUAUGCUGUGAAAGCUUUAUCCUUUCUCUCUUCACAAUAAACCUUGCUACUGUUCACUUUUUGGGUCCGUGCCAUCUUUAAGAGCUGUUAACACUCACCGCGAAGGUCCCUAGCUCCAUUAUCGAAGUCAGGGAGACAACGAACCCACCAGCAGGAACCACCUCCGGACACACUAUGUCCCUGCAUCCCCGAAGCUCCCGCUACUCCCUGGAAUAUUCUUUGAAAAGGGUCCCUGUGUCCUUUUUUGCCAGCAACAGAAACUCUAAAAACAGCCACCAUUAUAGCAAUCAAUUACCAAACUCUUCUGCUGAGGCCAGGCAGAAAGCAAAGCACAACGGACCUUACCAGGAGGCCCCGCCGCUCCUGUCCAGCCCCUGCCCACUCACUCAGGUGCUCAUCACCCCCAGGAGGCUCCACUGCUCCUGUCCAGCCUCUACCCACUCUCUCAGGUGUCCAUCACUUCCAGGAGGCUUUGCGCUCCUGUCCAGCCCCUGCCCACUCACUCAGGUGCUCAUCACCCCCAGGAGGGCCCCCCUCCCUGCCCAGCUUCCCCCUACUCACUCAGGUGCUCAUCACCCCCAGGAGGCCCCACUGCUCCUGUCCAGCCUCUACCCACUCUCUCAGGUGUCCAUCACCUCCAGGAGGCUUUG
rnacentral:lncRNA from 1 species